rfam:Glycine max cultivar Williams 82 chromosome 6, whole genome shotgun sequence.
AUGGUAAUAAAUGAAGACGGUCACAUAUUAUAUUUUAAUUGGAUGUUAAUUUCAUGAGAGAUGAAAUGUAUUUUUAUUUUCAUUGACCAAUUAUAACAUCACAUGUAAUAGUCAUAAUUC